UCGCAUCGUUAGGGGUGCCUAAAACGGCUGAGAUUAUACCCUAUGAACCUGAAUUGUUUAAUUACAGCGGAGGGAAACGAGGAUUGUCAAUA
rnacentral:ncRNA from 1 species